UUCGUUUUGAGUUUUUCUCCUCUCUGCCGCUGUGUUUGCACUUUAAUUUUGUAAAAAAUAUUAUUAUUUGUUAUGAACGGUAUGUUUUAUGUGUUAUUAGGGCACUAAAAAUAUCGGUUACAUCUUUUUAUUUCAUAUAAUCUCGAUAUUAUUAGUGUUAUCAUCGAAUUAUAUCCAAGACAUCAAUACUGCUUAUGAUUUUAAAACACUUCGCUACUUGUUUUUUUAUGAAAUUUUUGUUAUAUUAAUCUCAGGUUAUUAUCGACCUGUCAAGUAGACAUUUUUUUCGUCAAGCUGUCUCCGCAAAUUCGCAAAAUAGGAGACGAAAAUCCUUUCAAGUUCUCUAGUUUUAUAACGAAUCUGCCACCUAUAGGUGGUAGAACAAUGCCGCGGUGCAGCAAGCGCACGCGCAGCGGCGCUCCCGCUGCAGAACUAUUGCCUGGCACUACCUCUCUUGAAGAUCACCAUCACCACAAACGUUCCAGAAAUACUAGUUCCAGAAGACAUUCCAAAUCAGAAGACACAAGUUUCAGUGUAAAAAAAUGCCUAACUUGGUUUAAAGAAUACACAACAGUUUCAGAACCAGAUGUUUUAGGACCAGAAGGCAUGGAAAAGUUUUGUGAAGAUCUCGGUGUUGAUCCAGAGAAUGUUGUGAUGCUAGUCAUUGCAUAUAAAAUGGGUGCCAAACAAAUGGGUUAUUUUACACAAGAAGAAUGGAUAAAAGGUUUAACAGAACUUCAAUGCGAUAAUGUGCACAAAUUACAAAACAAAUUAGAAUAUUUACGCAGUUUACUCAAUGACCCCUAUAUAUUUAAGGCAGUGUACAGAUAUUCAUAUGAUUUCGCGAGAGACAAGGACCAGCGCUCGCUGGACACGAGCACGGCGCGCGCGCUGCUGGGCGUGCUGCUGCCGCGCUGGGCGCUGCGGGCGGCGCUGGGCGACUUCCUGUCGCGCGAGCGCCGCUACCGCGUCGUCAACCGCGACCAGUGGUGCAACAUCCUCGAGUUCAGCCGCACCGUCGACGCGCAGCUCACCACCUACGACGCUGACGGCGCCUGGCCAGUAAUGUUAGACGAAUUUGUAGAAUGGCUACGAGCUGAGCGAGGUGGGGAUUCCUCAAUGCUGGCCAGCUGAGACUGUCCACCUGUCAAAGCCUCACAAGGGUCGGUCUGCCGGCGGCUCGACCGGCGACGUGGCCACGUUACACUUUAAUUAUAUACUUUGAGAAGAUCAGAGAUAUAUUAUACUGCUAUGAAUUCUAACUUAUGAAGGAAGAAUGGUUGGACCUUGAUAAUUUUGCAUUAUGCCAAGUCUCGACGCGCACUGGUCCACAUAGUGCCCAAUUAUAUUAUUUUGUCAACUUGUCUUGUAAAUACCCCCAAAACACGCCUUAAUAUUUUUAUAAUGAAUAAACAGACAUAAUCUGAAAGUGUAAUAAUAAUAGUUUUAUAUAUACAAGCAAUAAUAAAUUCUCACCUCAUUCCAAUUAAAAUAUAGUAUAUGGGAUAAAUGUUACAAGUCAAGUUGUCAAAGACUAAAUGCCAGUAUAAUUAAAAUAUUAAUUGUAGGUAAUCGAUAUGUGAUCGAUAUGAACUCGACUGAAAGCUUUCUACUUUUAAGUGUCGCUUACUUCGGAGACUAAUUUGCAUUUUUGUAUUUCGUCUAGUUCGCAAGCCUGUUUUAUAAGCGACAGUUUAAUUUAUAUGUAAAAAAAUUUUAGCGCCAUCCUUAUAAGGCGUUAAGUUACGAUUCUGUUAUUUCAGCCCCAAAUUAAGUAUAGGAAAUUGUACUCAUUCUAGUGUUUAAUUAAUUUAAGCGAUAUAACAGGCUUUUGAACUAUUCAAAGAUAAAACAAUGCUCUGAAUCAAGUUCCGAUGGACUAGAACAUCUAGUCUAAUACUUUAGGUUUAGGUGUAGAUAUGGUUUUUUUAUAAGACAUGUAGGUAGUAUUUUUCAAAUUCUCUAUGAUUGUAACGAAUACGGUGUUUCUGUAAGAAAGCGGUGUAUACAAAAAUUAUCUCAAACGUUUAGGCCCCUUGUACCGAAUGUCAUUGCAAGAGAAAUAAAUCAUUCAAAAAUUA